rnacentral:lncRNA from 1 species
GACCACCACUCCAACCUGUCAUUAUUUGCAUAUACCUGGAACACUUUCAUCCUCUUUUCCACCUGUAAACUCCUACUUCAUCCUCAGGACCCACCCAAAUCUCACCUCAGGAAAGCCCACCUCUGUCAACAUGGCUUCCAUCUUGGGCUCCUGGGCUCUUCCUCAUUCAUCCACUGGUCACACAUUCAUGAGGAUUAAAGUGUGCCAGGUCCAGUGUCGGGCCUGGGGACACAGGGAGCACGAAGAUCCCUCUGAGAAGAGGGCACAUAUUAUAGCAUUUUCUCCUGAGCUGACCCCUGAAUAAUGUCUGGGCUCCCCUCCUCUUCUGUUAGAUCAUAAUCCCCUUAGGAGAAAAACCCUGUCACCCCCACUCUGAGCAGCAUCCGCAUGGGGACUUCACCAACCGAGGACCAUGGCUGGACAGAAAGACUGUGCACUUUGGGGUCAGCUGGGCCUGAGUUAGACUCCAGCUCCCCCACUUGUUAGCUUCAAAUUCCGAGAUAGUUGUGUUUGAACUUAUUUGACUUCCUCUGGGGCUACUAAUCUCCACAUCGCUCAAUCCUUGGGAGUCUGUGAGCUCCCCAAGAGGGAAACUAUCUGAUUCAUCCUAAAAGCCAGAAGCAAGUCUCCCUGGAGACCUCGCCACCGGAAGGUCCACCCAGCCAAACAGCCAUCCUGGGGCAUUGCCUCCUUGCCUGGCAUGAACCCCCAGAGGAGAGCUCGUGGCUGUGAUACCAGAGUUGUCAUCUCCAGGAUGGGAGCGGUGGGAAGAGACUGUGAAGCCUGCAGACCCCAACCCCUCAGUGGGACAGCAGCAGGGACCUGGAAUCUUCCAUCAGGAAGAAGCAAUACUGGUAGGCAGCAGAUGGCAACUUCAAACACGUGCAGAUGGCUUGCAUUGUAACCCGACGGACAGUAAGAACACAUAUCCUAGAUCACCAACCUGGAAGACACCCCCUUAAAUAUACCCAACUCUGCUCAUAAGGCACCUCAGCACCCACAAUCCACUGCUAAGUGCAACCUAAGAUCUCUAUCUUAUAAACCCUUUUCAUGCCUCUUACAGUCACAUUCUGAAAAUUCUUUUUCCGUGGCAGAAGGCAGCAAACCUGCAAACUUGGGCCAGGGAUUUAGCUCAGUGGUUUUGCCACCUGCUGCGCAAGUGGAAAGACCCAAGUUCUAUCCCAAGUAACAACAAAAAACAAACAAACAAACAAACAAAACCCUGCAAACUUAUUCUACAAGAGUGGGACAGGUUCCUUAUUUCAGCCCUGGUGACCUUCAGAACCAGCUCAGUGACAAGACCAAGCUUCACCUCCCAAAUCACAUUUAGCAAUAAAUGCAUCACUGGAUGAAUCCACUGAGUAGUGGUCAGACUGUGAUCCUGUCUCCUCCCCAAGGCUCCACCUAUGAGCACAUGAGGCUUUGAGGGGACAUCUAGACAUAAACCAUAAUGAUGUACAGAAAUGAUAAAUUAUUGUACAUUUCCUAUUAAAAAAAAAAGGCAGCACUAACCCUGUAAGAUUGGCCCGGCAUUUGGAACUAAGCCACAUUAUUAAACGUAAAUGAUCUCACAGCACACCAAUCUCAGGAAAAGUUAUGCUGAGACCAUGAUAAAAUAAGGCAGAGCAAGGCCAUUUUAUACUUUGUCCAAGCGCAGACAACAUGGUCUCUGUGCUACUCACAAAAUUCAUUC